CUUGUUCUGUGUGGUCCACAUAGCCUCCCACACCUCUCCAAAAUGUCCCUCUCCAAGUUUCUUGUGGAGUCUGAACUCCUCUCGAGGUCUCUCCCACAGCUCCAUGUCGAACAGCUCCCGCUGCACAGAGACGACAGGAUCUCUUGAAAAUGAUAUCUUGAUCUCACCGAGGAGAUCAAGAUGACCUGAGACGCGACCAAACAGGACCACAAGAAAAAAAAAUUACAAACUCUCAGCCGCCUCUGAAAGGGAAGAGAGAAGAGGGAGGAGUCACUGAGUGGCCUCAGAUCGAGAAGAGGUGCUGAUUAUAUGUUCUUAAACACUUUUUAUCCGUGUGGGAGAAGCUGCAACUUGAUGCUUGUCUUUAAUAUGUGUGAUAUUCCUAAAACAUCACUUUUGUAAUGUGAAGAGUGGGUGUGCUGCUGCUGCUUUAAAAUAGGUGGUUUCUCAUUUUGCAGUCUCCAACUACUGAGAAACCUCAGUGAGCUCCGUCGUCUCCCGCCGGGCUCGAACUGAUGAGCCAUGAAUAAAGAAUACAGCUCGCUGGGGGUUUAGUUUAAGCUGCAGUGCAGAGAGCGUGCGUAAUUACAGCACCGCCACGUUUUAUUCUAAAACUGUUCCAAAUAUUUCAUUCUCUGGUUAAUUACACUCCAAAACAUGUUUGCCUCUUGAUAUUAAUUUAUGCACAAGACAGCACUCAUUAAAUUCCUGCUGCAGGGCAACAAUAGAAAGAUUAAUUCAGGGUCUUUGUUGCACUUUGUUUCAGAUUCUUACUGCAAAGACAAAAGCUGCUCAAAUUAAAAAGAGAUAGCCAGUGGAGCUUUUGCUGCCUGAAAUUGAAAUUAUCAGCAUCAGUUGUUAUGAGUCAUUUUUGCUGCUGGUUUUUAUUGAGAAAAAUCUAU